CAGUCACUGCUGGAGGACAUGUAAACUGGUUAACCACUUUGGAAAACUCAUUAUCUACUCAAGUUGAAAGAAUGUAACCCACAUACAUACUAACAAAAGCUGUUACCAUCUGAUCAAUCUGGUUACAUCACCAACUUCCCAGCUACUCCAAGUCUUGCAGAAUUAAUGAAACACUUUGAGUUAACUUUUUAGAACUCCUUUAUUGAGAAAAGGCUGUAUUGACUUCCGUUUACAAUGUCAGGAACGCUUCGGUGAAAAGCAGGAUGAGAGGGGUCCAAUACAGAGGGUCCUCAGACUGCUACACGCUAGCUCACUCAGCUUUUCAGCUACAUCAGGGCUCCUAAGUCACAGAAAGUGUGCACCAAACUCAGACACACAGAGAAAUGUGAUAAUGACCUGGGAGAGAAGAGCAAUGCUAAGCUACCUGCCAGAAGAGUUGUGUCUGAGGCACGCCAUACUUCAAGGAGGUCAGGAAAAAAAUCUCUUCUAAAGAAUCAUUCUUAGAUCUGAGACAUAGAAGAUGAAUAGUAUCUCGUUCAGGCAAAGCAUUUGUGAAGGUCCAGAGGUGAGAAGAUACUUUGCAUUUUCAUCAAAACUGAAGCAGCUGAGGCUCACUGAGCAGCAGGAAAGAAAGGAAACAGUUUGCAGAACAGCUCACAGAAAAACCCUCUCUUUGGACAUGUUUGGGCCAGAUUCAAGAUCAACUCAAGUCACCUUCAGCUGGAGGUCCCCCGGGCAAGUCACUGAAUUUUUCUCAGCCCCCAUCCUCCUCUACAAAAUAGAUACUAUUGAACAAUACGAGCCUGAACUGUGUUGGGCCACUUAUAUGUGGAUAUUUUUCAAUAAAUUCAGUAAAGUAC